AAGCCUGAGGAGCACCGCGCGUGAGGGAGAGGCCUUCGGGACGAAAAGCUCUGUUGUUAGGGAGAACAGUACGAGAGUAACUGCUCGUACCUUGACGGCACCUAACCAGAAAGCCCGGCUAAUACGUGCCAGCAGCCGCGGAAAUA
rnacentral:rRNA from 1 species